GGGCCGAUAGAUCAAUGGUAGAUCGCCGCUUUCGCAAAGCGGAGGUUCCGGGUUCAAAUCCCGGUCGGUCCA
rnacentral:tRNA from 1 species